GACGAACGCUGGCGGCGCGCCUAAUACAUGCAAGUCGAGCGAGAAGGUGUAGCAAUACACUUGUAAAGCGGCGAACGGGUGAGGAAUACAUGGGUAACCUACCCUCGAGUGGGGAAUAACUAGCCGAAAGGUUAGCUAAUACCGCGUACGCUUCCGGGACUGCGGUUCCGGAAGGAAAGCGAUACUGUGAGUAUCGCGCUCUUGGAUGGGCUCAUGUCCUAUCAGCUUGUUGGGAGGUAACGGCUCACCAAGGCUUCGACGGGUAGCUGGUCUGAGAGGACGAUCAGCCACACUGGCACUGCGACACGGGCCAGACUCCUACGGGAGGCAGCAGUAAGGAAUAUUGCGCAAUGGACGACAGUCUGACGCAGCGACGCCGC
rnacentral:rRNA from 1 species